CUGAUAGAGACAGUGUAGGAAUCCCAGAAACAACAGGCCAUGUUGCUGCACGUGGCUAACCAUCGUUGAUUUUGCAUGUCAGUUUCUAAGCCGAUAUCACCAACUAUGACUCUGACAUACAAUGAAGCAGUCGAGGGCCAUGAGGCUUUUCUGACUGAGGCAACACAGCCUGGAGCCCAAAUCCCGAGGCUGUGCACCAAAGUCCUUCCCUGUUUGUCACUGGUGAGCAGAGUCUGACCUGAAAGUCUGGACCUGAUCUCUCAGUGAAGGCAAAACCGCUUGACCUCUGAUUUUGAACUGAAAUUGUAGCUAAUGCUGCUAUUGAUUUAAAAAUCCAGUUCAAUAUGUGAAAAAAUACACUUUACAAUCUCCUGGAACAUUCUGUCUCAGAGAGGACCGUGUCUACACUUCAAAGGAAAGACCAGAUCCUGGUGCUUUCCCACAAGAAGUUGCUCAAUGUGGCUACCAGGCAGGCCAAACAAAAGCCUCUGUCUGCAGACAGGAGGGCACCAACAAUGUGUCAAGCAACCUCAUCUGCAUCGUCACAAGCAUCUGUAGUGUGGAUAUCUGGUCAACAUGGUCGUUUGACAGUUGUGGAGCCCCUCCCACCAAUAAAGGUCAUGCCUAUUCUAGUGUGCUGCACUCAGUGAAGAAGUUGGACCAAGCGUCAAAAGAGUGAAGGCCAAGCUCUGAGUGUGACAGAGAGUUUGAGAUGGACAAAUGAUGCUUUGAAAAACACGUGACUUCUCGCUGGGACCUCCAUCUCCUGUAAAUAACCAACAACCUGUUCAAGGAUCAAUGUGCCUCUGACAUGAGGACAACAAG
rnacentral:lncRNA from 14 species